rnacentral:lncRNA from 1 species
CCUAGGUAGGGCUCGCCUUGGUCAGCCUCGUGGGGCUCUGACAAAGCACCCGAGACCAGGGAACUUAGGAGAAACAGAAACUUAUUGUUUUACAGUUCUGGUGGCUGGGAAGUCCAAGGUCGAGGUACCGAGCCCAGCGAGGGCCUUGGGGCCGUCUUCAGCAGCAGAGGUGGAAGGGACCCUGGCCAAGCACAGCCGCUUGGGGAAGGCUCUCUCGUGUCGUGGAGCCCCUUGCCCAUCACCUCUGCGGCACCUUGACCACUGCUGGGUGGUGGACACAGCGGGCCUCCCUCAGGUGCCUUCUCUGUGCCUCAGUCUUGUCAUCUGAGAUGGAGGUGGUAGCAGAACCUGCCUCACUGGGUCAUUGCCGGCUUAAAUGAACAUCAAAGAACUUGACAUAGGCUACCACCUUCAUCACCAUCUUCAUCAUCGUCACAGACUAAUAGGUGAGUCCGAUUUAGAUUUGAAAGUUUGCUAAGAGGUAAAGUUUUUUGUUGAUUUAUUAUUAUUAUUAUUAUAAAUAGCUCUUUGACCACUUGUUUGUUAACACAUGGCGUGUGGAAUCAACUCUAAGGAAACAGACUCUUCAGCUGGAGAAACUAUCCCAAUAGCAUCAUUAACAGCUCUGGCUCCACUCUGUUCUGUAUUCAUUAGUCAUGUGACUUAAGUGGUUUAAAAUCUCUGAUCCUUAGACUUCAUUUUUUUUAUUUGUUCUAAUUAGUUACACAUGAUACUGGGAUGCAUCUUGACACUUCACACACGAAUGGAGCCUGACUUGUCAUUCUUCUGGUUGUACAUGAGGUAGAAGCUCACUGAUCAUGUGAUCAUAUGUGCACACAGGGAAUAGUGUCAGAUUCAUUCUACUUUCCUUUCUAUCCUAACCACCUCCCCUUCCUUCACUCCCUUCUGCUUAAUCCAAACUCUAUUCUUCCCUAUCCCUUCCUUCAUUGUGAAUUAGCAUCUACUUAUCAGAGAAGACAUUUGGCCUUUGGGCUUUGGGGAUUGGCUUAUUUUGCUUAGCAUGAUAGUCUCCACCUCCAUCCAUUUACCUGCAAAUGCCAUCAUUUUAUUCUUUUUAAAGGCUGAAUAAUAUUCCAUUGUGUAUACACGCCACAUUUUCUUUAUCCAUUCAUCUGUUGAAGAGCACCUAGGUUGGUUCCAUAGUUUAGCUAUUGUGAAUUGAGCUGCUAAGAACAUUGAUGUGGCUGUGUCCCUGUAGUAUGCUGAUUUUAAGUCCUUUGGGUAUAAGCCAAGGAGUGGGAUAGCUGGGUCAAAUGGUGCUUCCAUUCCAAAUUAAGUUUUGAUGUAUUAUUUUUCUGGAAGAAGUUCCUGAAGUAUUUGAUGAAGCUUUAAUUGUCAUCUACCCUCUCAACAAAGAUGCAUAAAAUCUAAUGGUGUAAAGUAGACAUUUUGUCUCACAGAGCACACAUUCUUCAUCUCUCUCUGACUAACCAUAUUUGAAGUAUUUUCUCCUAAGCCUCUGCUAUGUAUGACAUAACUUCUGAAAGCAAUGCUAUUGAAUCUUUGGCCUCAAUUCUAUAAACAGUUUUGUGUAUUGUGUGGUGUCAGGCAUCCUGGAUUCUGUAAGCAAAAGUAAAGCUGUGAUCUGAGGAAAAAAAACAAAAACCACGCAGCACUGAGUUAAAGGGCUUGCACAUCAUCACAGCAGGUGAGAGGACGUGCAGACUGUUCUUAGUGGACAAAGACCAGGAAGCUGGGUUGACAGGAGUCAGUGCCUCGGACCUAUUUCCUGUGUUUAUGCAGCCUGCAAGCCAAGCAUGGUUUUCACAUUGUUAAAUAGUCAAGAAAAAAAAAUCAACAGAAGAAUAAUGCUUCACAUGUGACAACCACGUGGAACUCAAGUGAAGUUCCCAUCAGUAAAGUCUUACUGGAGCACAGCGUGUCCGCGUGUUUAAACAUCACCCAGGCUGCUGUCGCUCGAACGGAGAGCCCAGUGGUUGCCACAGACUCCAAGUCCUGCGAGGCCCGGAGGACUCACCGGCCCUUUACACAAGAAGUCUGCUGGGCCCUGCCAAGAGGUUAGGUGACUCACCCCAGAUGCACAGCGUGGAGGGCAAGACUUUGCAACAUGAAUCCGGAUUCUAAACUCUCUCAAAAACCAGGUUCAUGACUAGACUAGAUGUCUCUUUGCUUUGCAGACUUAAAAAAAAAAAAAGCCAUAUUUGCACGCUUUUGAAUCCCUCUUGGCUCUGCCACGUCUUGCCGUCGAUUUCCACUGUGGAAGGUGGUCAGUGCCGGGCCAGCAGAAGCAGCCUCUUGAGCACAGCCGACAGGGCCCCGCCUCUCUCCGCAGCUCACCCCCCAUGGAGAGUGCCAGCAGCCUGAGUGGGUCCCCUGCGGGAAGCACAGCCCUCUCAAUGGCCCCUGAGGAGAAGUGACCCUCUUAGCCUCUCCUCAGCCUAAUAGCCAUGGAGGGUGUCACACCCUCCGUGCUCUCAUGACCCAGGGCAGCCACAACAAUGCCGUGUCCUGUGGAGAAAACAGUGUCCUCGCGUCACACCUAGGGAGCCGCUGCUGCUUCAGACGUUCUCCACAGCGGCUGACGGUGCUCGCUCCGUGCACUGUGCAGAGAAGGCCUUGAACGCUCCAAGGCCAGCCUCUUCUGCGGCCACCAGGUUUGUUAGGUGGUGAGUGUGAUAACCGCAAGAGCUGUCCUCCACGGGGGACAAGUUGCCUGAGGAUUAAACAGGAGCAAGAUGGCCAGUUUGGGCCGUUUCCCAAACAGUACUGUGUUGGCCCACGACAACUGUCAUAUUUUUCGGUAUGAAUUCUCAGAAAAUUAAACACGUUCAUAUCCAACCACAAGUACACCCACAUGCCCAAACCCUGUCCGUUUCUGGAACACCCUAAGCUUUGGAAGAAGCCCCAUCCCCCUUCCCUGUGUGAGUGCCAGUAGUCGAGAACUGAAGGAACUAGUUCCAUCUCAGAAAACAUGAUGUGGGAUGGCUUUCCCAGUACUUCACGGGGUACUAGGACCAAUCAUCCAUUUUGCACUGGCUUUCGUGGGCUGGGAUACCUCAUAUAUCACAGCUACUAUGCACUCUUCAAGGAAAAGGCAAACACAGAGUACGGAGAAAACCUCCAAGAGAUUCAGCUACAAGGCAGUUUAUGUCAUCGUCAUUGUUCCUAAGAAAAGCCCAUGGCAAAUACCUUGGCUUGAUUCUCUUCUAGGCUGUCAAGGAAACUCUGAUGAGGUGGUAAUUCAUCAGGGUGGACAGGAGAGAAAGAGGGCUGCAGAGAUGCUUGACUUGCCUUGGUUACAUUGGCAGCAUGUCAUGGAGCCCACCAGACAAAAUGGAAGCAGUUUGUGAUUUACCCUGCCACUGCAGGUCCUGUUUCUAAAAAAGUUUUCACUUUGAAAUGAUUUAAGAUUUAUAGAAAAGUCGCAAAAAUCUCCAUCUAUCCUUCACCCAGAUUCGACAACAGUUGACAUUUUACCUUGGCUGGGUCAUUUCACACUUGCUUUCUCGGUGACACAGAUGAGGAGAUGGAUGGAUGGAGAGAGGCAAUCACGUCCUUGCACCACGUGAGAGUCAGUUAAAGACGUGACGCUUCUUUAUCACUCAACAUUUCAGUGUGUGUUCUUAAAACCACACACACUCUCUUAUGUAACCACAGUGCAGUUAUCAAAAUCAAGAAAUUAAAUUUGAUACAGUUGAAUCAGGACACUAACUACAGAUGUCACUCAAAUUUUGCCAGUGGGGGGAGGAUAUCAUGCUCAGCAGAGACUUGACUAGCACACAAAAGGUCCUGGAUUCGAUGCUUGGCACUGCAAAAAUAAAAAAGAAAAUGAAAUUAUAUCACAUAUAUGUUUUAUGGGACAAGACACAAAAAUUAUGGUCCAAAAUUCUACCUAGGAGCACAAAUUGUACUGAAUUUCCUUCUUUCUCCUUUAGUCUAGAAUCUCCAAUAUGAUGACCUUGACAUUUUGAAGAGUCCAGGCCACUGAUCUUUCAGAACAUCUGGGUGGAUUCUAGUCCUUCCUCGAGUUAGAGCCAUGCCAGUGUUUGGGAGGAACACCACUCAGUGACAGUGAACCCUUCCUCGGUGAAUCACGCCAGAGGCUCACGAUGCCCACCUGUACAUGGUGGGUGAUGCUGCCCUUCCACACGUGGUAAGGUAGUGGGGGGAGGUGUGUCCAGUGAACAUUUUUAUGUUUUUUGUUUUUCAGUAAAAAACAAAAAUACUGUGUGAGACUGUGUAACAUCCUCUUUCCAGUCAAACUUCCAGCCGGUCAUCGUAUCAUUGCUACGAGGUCACCAGCAGGUGGCUUCCUAACGUCAUCAUUUCUUCUGCAGUUAUUACACUACGGAGGAGCUUUUUCUUUCUUGCUCACUUAUUUGUGUAUCCAUUUAUGUGUGGUGAAUGGAUUCAUGGAUUCUUGUUUUAUUCAAUGAAUUAUAAAUUUGCCCACCAUUGUUUAGUUGAAGUCCAGAGAGUUCCGGUUGGGCUAAUGCUUGUGUCCUUACACAUGUCUGAGGGGAGCAGGGAUGCGAACUGCGGUUUUUGGUGAUCAUUCUAGCAGCAGUUUAUGUAAAGGGUGUUUUUAAAACACAGGUGAUAAGAGGUGGGGAAACCUGUAGAGACGAGGAGAGCCCUGGGUUUAGGCAGCACAGGGAGGAGGAAUCAAGAGGAUCUGGAGAUCACGUGAAGAGGUAAAGGAGAAAGCGGUCUUGGCCUGAGUAACUGGAAGGUGGUGGUGCCAGAGGCAGAAACAGAAUAUAGGAGCCGGAGGGGGUGGCAAGGGGAUUGCUCUAGACCUGUGGAACUCGGGUCUCCAAGCACACGUCCUUGUGGAAUCGCCCGCACUUGAACAUAGAGAUCUGGAGCUCCAGAAAGAAAUGAUGCUGCACCUUGAUUUGGGAACUGUCAUAGACGGAGCCUCUGGAAGUAAAUGAGCUCAUUGAUCAGACACCUAAAGCCAAAAUGGGAGAGAAGGGGCCAAUCUCAGGGAAUGCCUCCAAUUAAAAUGCCAAAGACAGACACUCUAGGAAGUAACAUCAAAAAAGAGCUCUUUGAUGUGUCAUCAGAACCUAGAUGAAAGACUAUUUCAGGACCAGUAGGGGGAGCCACGUUCAGAGGCUCAACAGAGGAAGCAGUCCAGGCCAGGCGCCUGGCACCCAGAGGCCAGUGUCAGCUGCAGGAGAGCCAUCUCCAUAAAACAGUGAGCACAGAGACCAGCCCACAGGUGAGGAAGGAGGCACAGAGCACAGAGCCUACACUUUCAGAAAGAGGGGCAGUGACGGCAGAUAGACGGUGCCUUUGGAUGAAGCCCCAUCUUAAAAUGCAGGGCCUCGUCAUUACCCUAACUGUAGGGGACAAAAGGGGGCCAAGGUCAAGAAUGCAGGAUCGCCUUGCCAAGUAGAAAGUCGGGACACGGCAGGGAAGGGCGGCAGGUCCCCGGGAGCUCCAAGGCCGGGGGAGCUGUGGAGGGGAGCUGUGGAGGGGAGCUGGUGCUCAGGCUGAGCAGCCUGGCUCCUCGGUGCAGUCAGAGUGAAGGGGAAAGAACGAGUUUGGUGGUUUUUGAAGAGCAGAGGUGACCCUGAAUAGUGACAAGGAGGAGUGGAACAUGACUAGGAAUCCAGGUGGAGACCUGAUUGCACAUACACCCUGUUCAUGAUGGUCGAGCACAUUAGCAACUCAAAUCUUUAGAGAUCAGAGUAUAGGAACAGGUAAGUAGGAAUACUGAAAGUGUAUUAGGCUCCUUCAAAAAAGCAGAUGCCAAAUGAGAAUUCAGCCUGCAAGAGCAGGUGUCAGGGAGUCAUCGGCCAGCAUCAGCUGUUAGUAGAAGUGUCUUGCAAGAAAGACACGGUCCUGGCCAGGAGCAGCCUGCAGGAAGCAGGGCGUGGGGCUUGAUCCAAAGGCCGAGCAGCACAAUUCUGCUUCCUACCCUGUGGGUCGAGUGCUGCGUGUCCUUGGCUGCUAUGGUACACAUGUGAUGAACCCGCAUUUGUAAGACCAGUUCCCCGGAAGAAUGAAAAUCACCUGGAAGAGUCCCCAAGUAGAAGAGCUCAGUCUGGGAAGACUUGCUAACCUCUAGUCUGUCGUGGCAGAGCUGGACGUUGGCCCUGAGUGGGUGGACUCGGGACGGUGGAAGGUUGGUUUUUUUAAGUAGACAUUAAAAUUUAAUAGAGAAGAGUUAUAUCAUUUUGGGUCAUAAAAAUAAUAUAACAAUGGUGAUAUUUCAAUAGCAUAGAUCCAUUUUUUAAAAAAUGUUUUAAGAACCAGUAGUUUAAGAACAUUAUAACACAGUUACUAAGGAAGCUGAGGAAGGAGGACCCCAAGUUUGCAGCCUGGGCAACUUAGAAAGGCCCUGUCUCAAAACAAAAUAAAAGAAAGCUGGGGACGUGGCUCAGCACAAGAGCCCUUGCCUAUAUACACCAGGCCUGGGGUUUGAUUCCUGGUACUGAAAAAAGAAAGCUCAGAAUAAAUGCCACCAUCAGGUAUGAUCAGAUGUAAUCAUUUAACCUCUUUAAAUAGCCCCAAAGUCUUGUUCUGGGAGAAAAGAAGGAUCAUGUCUGCCAUAUUCUCUUCAUUUCUUUUCUAUAUUAUUUCUAUAUUUGACCUAAGAGUUUUCUUGCAGGGAUAUUUUUGUGGUCACUUGUCUGUUUUUUGAAGACUAGUUAAAAAUCUGAUGAUACUGUCUAGAAAGCUGCUUUUCAGACACGUGAGCUCAAUUUUGCAUAUGCUGAAAACAAGCAGUCACCCACACCCACCCUUUCCUCGUGCCCUGACCAGCCCACAGUGCCACCGCCAGUCUCCACAUUACACAGUGGAGUAUCUUUCUUUUCCUUUCAUCUUCAUCUGGGGCUCCAGCUCCAUCUUGGAGUCCUUCGUGGGUCCAUCCCAGGGAGGCCAAGGAGAGUCCCACUAUGAAUCCCUGCCCAUCAGUGCUUCAGAGUGAAGCGUUGCCGAGACGCACAGCCCUCCUUCUUCUUGGGGUUGGCAUCUUCUCCGAACAUGACUUUGAUGAACUAUUUUGAUAAAAGAGCUGCUCUCUAUUCUGCCUUGCUCUGAAUACUCCUCUCCAUAUAAUACCUGUUAGAGAAUAAGGAGUCCAGGAGAAGGGAGAGAGAAUCCUGUCCUAGCGCCUUAUCAAGCUCUGGCCAUCUAUUUGUGCCCCACUUGGGUUCUGACAGCGAAGUGCUGUGGAUCUGUUCUUGUGAUCUGCUGAAUGUGGGGUCCACUUGGCCUGUGGCACGCACAGGACCUUCUCAGCCUGGCAGCCUCCCCAGGCUGACAGUUCAUGGGUCCUACUGAGAGCCACCGAUGGGUGGGCAGUGCCAUUCCUGGAUGACGUGCACAUGUCCAUGUCCUCACCCGCCCUGUGUGACCACGUCUCACUCCAUAGUGGGUGGAACACAGCGAUGGCUUCAAAAGAUGAGACCCAAAAGGGAUAUUCGUGAGAAUUAGAAACCAGCCACUGCAGGGAACUAACAGCAUAAAAAACGCUUCCGACUCUGAGGCCCCGAAGCACCACUUCCUGUUGUGAUGGACACUGUGGGUGCAGCUUGUGGGCAGCUCUGGAAACAGUGGAGGGGGGUGUGUCUAAGAAAAGCAACAGAGAGCAGCCGCAGCCAGCCCAGAUUCUUCCUGUGCAGAGAGCAACGGCCACAGGAAAGUCUCUGGGGUUGAGGGACUCGGGGGCACAAGGUUUGACCACAUAGUCAGCCCGGCCAGGCCCCAUCUGUCCUACAGUGCCCACAAAUGCCCUUACGGGGCAACCAAGAUCCUCCUGUGUCUGUAGACCCAAGAACCACAUGGCCAAGGAAGCCGAGCCGGGUUGCCACGUCCACUCCAAAACCACUUGACUACUUAAACUUCAUGAGGAAGGUGAGUUAGCCAGAUUCAGGUCCCAGUCUAAAAUAAACUGUGCAUUUCUGAUAUUUUAACACAGCUCAGAGGAACUGGUGACUCGCUAUUACACAGGAGUAAUUAAUAACAUAUUAAAUCAUCACCAUCUUUUUAAAUAUGAGAGCCCACCCUAGAGUCUCAAGGCAAGAUUACUCUGAAUUCAAUGAAAAGACAAAAGUAUAAUACCCCCAUAAUCAUCAUUUAGUAUCAUUUAUCCAAAAGAGAUUAUUUUGCAUAAGGACCAUAUCCCUCUGGGAAAAAGCAACUAUUAGAAAAUCAUAUUUAACAGAUAGAUCUAUCUGACAGUGAGCCAGAGCUUCUCUCUGAUGUUGAAGAAGUAACUUUUCCUUAUUGGGUAACUAAUGAGAAGUUUAUUAUACUCAAUUUGUUUUAUAGUCAUUAUCUUUGGAGUGUAAAGUCCUGGAGGGCAAUGAUGGCACAUUUUCUUCAGUGAUUUAAAGACUUUCCCCAGCUGGUACAGUAUUAAAUAAUCAGGAAUUUUCAUAUCAUUUGCUAUGCUUUCAGUUGGAAUUAGCAGAGAAUUCCCCUCAACCUGCUGAAGCAACUCUAGAUAUGACUUCCCUUACACAAUUAAAGUCCAGAGUUAGGGGCAAUUACCAAGAGUCUCAGUCACAUUAUGAAAAACCCAGACUCUUCCCAUCUUUCCAUUUCACUACCCUCAGAAUGUCAGGUUUUCUAAGAGGCCAGCUCCUCUCGGGGUUGAAAGAUGGUUACCAGUUCCCAGGCACCGCAGGUGGACGUGUCCGACUCGGGUGAUGCGGGCCCCUGAACUGGGUCACGUGACUACUGUUAGAGAAUCCCUGCGAAGCGCACACAGUUCAAAGGUUCAUAUAGAACAAUCCAGAUUUAACUCUGAGGCUUAGGAGAGGAAUAUGGACGACUUUAUCAGUUAAGAAUGGGUUUGGUUGUGUGUGAUGAAGUAAUAGUUGUGUGUGAUGAAAAUAUGAAAUAAUUGAGGCCUAACAAAGAAAGAAAUUGCCGCCCGUGGCUUUAGAGGAUAAGCCUUUUUUUAGCCCGUGAAUCUGAUUUCGCUGAGGAGCUCCCCUGGCCUGGCUGGCCUGGCUCUGCAGCACGUGGUCAGGGGUUGGUGAGCCACAGGUGAGGUGGCUGCAUUGGGGGGGGUGGGUUUCUCACCUGUCUGGACCCUCCAAUGGGGGAGGCAGGCUGACUGGGCUCUGCGCCCUGCUGUCCCUGACCAUGCAUCUCCACGGGACUGGCCUCCCCAAGCCUGCUGGUCUGAAACCGCGGACCUGCCUGUCAGCCCAGGCGCUCCUUCACCUGUUCACAGCAGCUGGGCAGUGGCCAGGUGGCUGCUUCUACGGCCUGGUGGCUCUCGGCUGGAGCCCCAGCUCUCCUCUGCGUGCCUCUCUGCCCAGGGGCUCCCCAGUGCUGCGCAAGAGCAGGGACCCAGGAGAGACAGGAAGAGCACACAGGGGUGCUGGGGUCAGGCCUGCAUGGCACACGGCCACCUCGGCCGCACUCUGUCAGCCCAAGCAAGUCACGAAGCCACCCAAAUGCAAGCUAUGAGGAAAUGAACUCCUUUUAAAAAAUAAAUCAACUGCAAGUCAAGUUGCAAGGAUCAUGGAUUCAGGAGGGGGAACAGUUGGGGCCGUUCUGCUAACCAGUUACCACAGGAAGAGCUCUGCUCCCCCCAGCUGUCCACCCUCCUGUUAGGGGUGAGCCUCCUCCUCCUGGUCCAGAGCACAGCCACCACAGCACAUUCCAGGCUGCGGACAGGGAGGAGUGAAGAGGCCAGCAGACGGCAUGCUGGACGUCUCUCAAGGAACAUCCCCAGGAGCCUCUAAAUCACUCCUGCACGCACGGUAGGCUAGAACCUCAUCCUGCAGCCACGCCAGACUCUGCCAGCUGUCAUCUGCCCACCACCCAAAACAUGUCAAGAAAGGAAGAGGGGAUGGCAAUGCACCUAGCCCAGCCACAGCACUGAUAGCUUCCCACGCAUAUUUGUAAUCUACAAAACUUCCUUGAAUAAAGGAUUUAAAAACAAAUUACCGCCAAUGGUUAGGAAAAGAAAUGCACGUCAAUGUCGUGACUUCCAGUUUUCUUUCUGUGCACAGGUGGUAGCUGCCUUGUUCUAACCACAAUCAGUAAAGCAUCCCCUCGGCUCCCAGCGUAGCCUGUACCCCACAGACUGCACAAUGUCCAGAUACCACCGCAGCCCUCUUGAAGAGGAUCUUGUCCUGUUGAUUCUAAAGAAGUAUGGUACAACUCCUGUCAAGAGUCCUAUUGCCAGAAUUUCUUCUUGUGUUCUUUUUUUCUUCCUGUUGAACCACAAAGUCAUUGGAGAAUAGAAAAAGCUUUUCAUUUAGAGGAUGUACCUGGCACAGUUUUUCAUAAAUCAGAAACCAACUCUAGUUAAUUUAAACAGUGAAAAGAUUCACUGAAUAGGGUCUGAGUUGCUCACAGACUUGGUGAGAAGGCCGGAGAACAUGGGCUGGGCAGGUCCCCGAGGUGUAAAGCCAACCCUGGGAUCAGCUUCUGCCGUGGCUGCUGACGGUCUGACCUCUGGUUCUGAUGCUGUGGACUCUCUCCACACACACUGGCUCCUGGACGGCACAGCAGCCACCCAACCCUCUCGCCGCUCCCAGUCCUUCCAGUCAGUUCUUGGCAGAAGCAUCGGAUUGGUCACUUUUAGGUCAGAUGCCCAGUUCUGAGGGUUGCCAGGGUAAUCGAACAAGAAAUAUCCACCUUUCUCAGCUUUUAUAAAAAGCAGUUAGGCUGUUCCAGCCUGCCUUUAUUCCAAAUGAGAAAAACGUUAGACAAAGAAUCCCACUAUUAUGCAUAAUUAUAAGGCACCAGUGCGAAUGAAGAGGGGAGAGGCUGGGGCGCACUCGGUGGCCGGCACUUGCCUAAGAUGUGCGAGGCCCUGUCUUCAGUCCCAGCACUGUAAUGGUGGCGGUGAGGGGGAGGAGGAGGAGAGAGGGCCCGUGGGCUGAACAACACUCGAUACAGAGGCCACGGGUGGCAUCUGCACAGCAGCAGGCCCACAUCACUCAGUUACACAGGAUGGGGACCAGGGAGCAGAGAAGCAGGAGCUAACAUGGGGGGUGGGUGAAAUUGUGUUUUUGAAAAUAUGCUAAUGACCAGAAUUCCAGGGGGAUGGGUAGGGGAGUCAGCUCAGGUGAUACAACAUUUUGUCUUUCAAUCCUGGAAACAAGCAUCCAGUUAAAUGCACAUCUUAACGGGGAGCUUCCCAAGCCGGACCCAAAGCACCCAUGGCAGUUAGCAUUAAGCUGGGUACUGAGAGCACACCUGUGGUCCCAGAAACUUGGGAGGCACAGGUGGGCAGAUUGCAAGUUCAAGGCCAGCCUGGGCAAAUUAGUGAGACUGUCUCAAAAUAAAAUAAAAAGGAAUGGGGAUGUAGCUCAGUGGCAGUUCAAUCCCACCUCCUAAGUAAAACCAUAAAAUAAAGUUAACAGUUAGUAAUAAGGUGAUUAUAAAUACACCCCUGGAACACUGAUGGCCAAUAUCCUCAAUUGCCAAACACUUAUUAACUCCGUCUCCACCUUGAGAAGAUGGGCUGCUGCAUACUCCUGAAGGCUCCCAACUCUUCUGCCUGGAAGGAGGAUGUCACCAAUGCCACAGCUCCUUCAAACCACCCCUCAACGUGAGCCUCUUCUUGUGGUCUUGCUGGAGGUGUUAUUAAAUAGACUUUAUAGCUGAUAUGGCAUCGGCCUUGAUGGAUCAGAAGGACACUGGCCAUACUCAGAACAGAGUCUCCAGGCUUCCCAACAGGUCGGCAUGAAUCCGUUCAGUGCUGGGGGAUCCUGAGGGCCCCAGGGAGGCCUCAGCAAGGGGUGGGAGCAUGCAGGAGACCAUCGGCUGUUUACCAGCUUAUUCCAGAAUUCCUAAUGAGGCCCACCUGCACUCCUGCCAGCCACGGGAACAUCAGCUCUGUCUCAGGUUCUCAGCACUUGGCAGCUGGGCGGAGAUGAAGGGCCACAUUCAUGGUGUUCUGGAUCACCAGGAGUCAGAACUGCUCGGGAACAGCACCAGGCACGUUAGCUGAUCCAGGACACUUCCCUGGAGACAGGGAUGAUGAUUCCUCUGCUUCACCACAGACCAGCAGUGCUCGCCAGGUGGCUGAGAGGCAGAGUUUUCAUUAGGUUGCCACUUUUCUGGGUCCUACUGUCUCUUUGAUGUCUGCCUGCCACCUAUGGGCCACUGUCAAGUUGUCCUUGUGUAUGGCUGGAUCUCUGUUGCCCAGAACAGUGCCUGGCACACAGGAAGCACUCAACAAAGAACUCCCAGGCCAUCCUGAGAGGGCUGUCCACAGGAGACUGUGCCAGAGGGCAGGCAAAUGGCCAGGCUGCGGGUCAAAGAGGGUCCAGGACAGCAGGUGUCCAGGAAGGGGCUGUGGGCGCUGGUGCUUUGCCUCCUCCCCAGGCCUGUCUGCCAGCAGCACAGUUGGUUUUGACAGGAAGGAAAUGGCUCUCUUUUUAAAUAAGCUACAACUGUCUCAUUCUCACCCCCAUUGUCCAAAUUCAACUGUCUGGGGUUCCAAAAUCCAGAAAAGCAGGAACCAAGUCUACAUAACUGUCCCAUCCAACAUUCAUACAAAGCUCUGCCACUGAGCUACGUCCCCAGCACUUUCUUUUCUUUCUCUUUUUUUUAAAUUUUGAAACAGAGUCUCCCUAAGUUUCUGAGGCUGGCCUCAAACUUGUGAUACUCCUGCCUCGGCCUCCUGAGUAUUUGCAAUUAUAGGUGUGGCCACCACUCCCAGCUCCUUCACAGAUUUUUAAAAAUAAUCAUGAAGGUCCCUGAAAUCUGAGCAUAAAGUUCAAACAAAAAUCAUUGGGGGCUGGGGAUAUAGCAGUUGGUAGAGUGCUUGCCUCACAUGCACACGGUCCUGGUUUCAAUCCCCAGCACCACAAAUAAAUAAAAGAAAUAAAAUAAAAUAAAUAAAAUAAAAAUCAUUGGGAUGCUGUUUAGUCAGCUUUUUGCUACUGUGACCAAAAGACGUGAUAAGAACAAUUAGAGGAAGAAGUUAUUUUGAGUCUCAUGGUUUCAAAGGUCUCAGUCCAUAGAUGGCUGACUGUACUCCUUAGGGCCCAAGGUGAACAGCACAUCAUGGCAGAAGGUGUGGCAGAGGGAAGUGGCUCAGCGCCCGGCCACCAGGAAGCUGGUGGGCCGGGACCACUUGUGGCUCCAUUCCCUAGGGACAAAAUUCAUGCCCCCAAAGCACAUCCCAGGGACCCACCCCCUCCAGCCACACCCUACCUCUGAAUUUCCCUGCCUUGUCUCACACAUGAGCUUUUGGGAGACACCUAAUAUCUAAACUAUAACAGAUGCUUUUGUUUGUUAGUUUUUAAAUAUUAAAGAAUUUUUUAAUCUUUAUUUAUUUAUUUUUAUGUGGUGCUGAGGAUCGAACCCAGAGCCUCACAUGCUAGGCGAGCGCUCCACCGCUGAGCCACAAUCCCAGCCCAUAUUAAAGAAUUUUUAACUGUCACACAAUAAUUGUACAUAUUUAUGGUGUACGAACUAGGAUUCUUUAUUUGGAAUUCAUAAUGGUCGGUGGGAAAAAAAUAACACAGUUUUAAUACUUGUGCCUGAAAUUUUAGUAAUUUCUUCAAUUUUUAAGUCGGGCAACAAGCCAUAGAACAAAAGACUUUGUUAUCAAUAAGAAUUGCAGGUAUUUUCAUAUCACAUUACAGUGGCUAAAGAUGGUAUAAAAUAAUAUUCACAUUCAUCACUACUUUAAAGUUACAGGAAAAUGUAUAUUUUGCAAUAAGAGUUACAAUAACAACUAGACUUGCCACUAAAUCUUGCUAUUUGAUGUGUGAAUAAAGAAAAUAAACAUUAUAAAUUCGCCUUUUUAAAUGUAUUUUGAUAUCUGUUUAAUAUAUGUCCUUGAACUUCUGGGUACCUUCUUUUGUUUUCCAAAUAUGUUCUGAGAAGGGAGGAGAGUCCAGAUGGUGGCUAGCAGAGGGCUGCGUUCCUAGUUGCCCCAUGGCUCUGGAUUCACGGCAGCAGGAGUUCACCAAAGUUCAACUUUGGACAGAGUGCCUUAGGGACUCAGAGGAAGAGUCCCUUGGGGCCAUGGUGGCAGAGGGAGAAGUGUGAGAAGCAUGCUCACCUGCCCAAACCCAAAGACCUGACUGACAGGGGAAGGUGCGGGCAAGGCUUUAUUUCAAUGACAAUCUUGGAAGAUGGCGUGUCUGUGGGGAGCAGGCACACCCAAGCGUUCAUCCCCUAGUGCGCAAGAUCCCUCCCCAGGUUCCUCCCUGGCUGAGUACUGUGGGGCGCACCACCUUCCUAAAUGUUGCCCAGGUAUUACUGCCUCCUAUUGGGUUAUUUAAAGAGAUUUACCUUUAGUUGUCCCCACCUCCGUUUGUUCUCUGUGGCAGGAAGCCCCCUUGGAUUAAGUGCCUUUUGGCACACACAGGUGCAGUUUAUUUCUGUUGGCCUGGUCUGGCUCCUUCCAUCUCACCUCGUUGGUCAAGGAGCUAUGAAUUUUUACACGCCAGUGUUCACUGUUUGUAACUUUAUUCUGCUCUCCCCUCCAGCUGCCUUUCUUACACUUAGAGAUAAAUGCUGUAUUUUGAAAAUGGACCACCAGACUUACUAUUUCUUAGGGAGAGAGAACAUAGAGAGAAACACAUUGAUAGAUUUGGUACAGAAAAGGCUGAGAGCAGAAGAGCUGCCGGACCUUAGCCAACCAGAGGCUGCACUGUGCACUGGUGCUUGGAAAGUGCUGUGUCUCUUGAGUGGCCACAGAGAGCUGAGAUGGGAGCCAUGUCNGGAAGCACAGCCCUCUCAAUGGCCCCUGAGGAGAAGUGACCCUCUUAGCCUCUCCUCAGCCUAAUAGCCAUGGAGGGUGUCACACCCUCCGUGCUCUCAUGACCCAGGGCAGCCACAACAAUGCCGUGUCCUGUGGAGAAAACAGUGUCCUCGCGUCACACCUAGGGAGCCGCUGCUGCUUCAGACGUUCUCCACAGCGGCUGACGGUGCUCGCUCCGUGCACUGUGCAGAGAAGGCCUUGAACGCUCCAAGGCCAGCCUCUUCUGCGGCCACCAGGUUUGUUAGGUGGUGAGUGUGAUAACCGCAAGAGCUGUCCUCCACGGGGGACAAGUUGCCUGAGGAUUAAACAGGAGCAAGAUGGCCAGUUUGGGCCGUUUCCCAAACAGUACUGUGUUGGCCCACGACAACUGUCAUAUUUUUCGGUAUGAAUUCUCAGAAAAUUAAACACGUUCAUAUCCAACCACAAGUACACCCACAUGCCCAAACCCUGUCCGUUUCUGGAACACCCUAAGCUUUGGAAGAAGCCCCAUCCCCCUUCCCUGUGUGAGUGCCAGUAGUCGAGAACUGAAGGAACUAGUUCCAUCUCAGAAAACAUGAUGUGGGAUGGCUUUCCCAGUACUUCACGGGGUACUAGGACCAAUCAUCCAUUUUGCACUGGCUUUCGUGGGCUGGGAUACCUCAUAUAUCACAGCUACUAUGCACUCUUCAAGGAAAAGGCAAACACAGAGUACGGAGAAAACCUCCAAGAGAUUCAGCUACAAGGCAGUUUAUGUCAUCGUCAUUGUUCCUAAGAAAAGCCCAUGGCAAAUACCUUGGCUUGAUUCUCUUCUAGGCUGUCAAGGAAACUCUGAUGAGGUGGUAAUUCAUCAGGGUGGACAGGAGAGAAAGAGGGCUGCAGAGAUGCUUGACUUGCCUUGGUUACAUUGGCAGCAUGUCAUGGAGCCCACCAGACAAAAUGGAAGCAGUUUGUGAUUUACCCUGCCACUGCAGGUCCUGUUUCUAAAAAAGUUUUCACUUUGAAAUGAUUUAAGAUUUAUAGAAAAGUCGCAAAAAUCUCCAUCUAUCCUUCACCCAGAUUCGACAACAGUUGACAUUUUACCUUGGCUGGGUCAUUUCACACUUGCUUUCUCGGUGACACAGAUGAGGAGAUGGAUGGAUGGAGAGAGGCAAUCACGUCCUUGCACCACGUGAGAGUCAGUUAAAGACGUGACGCUUCUUUAUCACUCAACAUUUCAGUGUGUGUUCUUAAAACCACACACACUCUCUUAUGUAACCACAGUGCAGUUAUCAAAAUCAAGAAAUUAAAUUUGAUACAGUUGAAUCAGGACACUAACUACAGAUGUCACUCAAAUUUUGCCAGUGGGGGGAGGAUAUCAUGCUCAGCAGAGACUUGACUAGCACACAAAAGGUCCUGGAUUCAAUGCUUGGCACUGCAAAAAUAAAAAAGAAAAUGAAAUUAUAUCACAUAUAUGUUUUAUGGGACAAGACACAAAAAUUAUGGUCCAAAAUUCUACCUAGGAGCACAAAUUGUACUGAAUUUCCUUCUUUCUCCUUUAGUCUAGAAUCUCCAAUAUGAUGACCUUGACAUUUUGAAGAGUCCAGGCCACUGAUCUUUCAGAACAUCUGGGUGGAUUCUAGUCCUUCCUCGAGUUAGAGCCAUGCCAGUGUUUGGGAGGAACACCACUCAGUGACAGUGAACCCUUCCUCGGUGAAUCACGCCAGAGGCUCACGAUGCCCACCUGUACAUGGUGGGUGAUGCUGCCCUUCCACACGUGCUAAGGUAGUGGGGGGAGGUGUGUCCAGUGAACAUUUUUAUGUUUUUUGUUUUUCAGUAAAAAACAAAAAUACUGUGUGAGACUGUGUAACAUCCUCUUUCCAGUCAAACUUCCAG